UGGGGAAUAUUGGACAAUGGGCGAAAGCCUGAUCCAGCAAUGCCGCGUGAGUGAUGAAGGCCUUAGGGUUGUAAAGCUCUUUUACCCGGGAUGAUAAUGACAGUACCGGGAGAAUAAGCUCCGGCUAACUCCGUGCCAGCAGCCGCGGUAAUACGGAGGGAGCUAGCGUUGUUCGGAAUUACUGGGCGUAAAGCGCACGUAGGCGGUCAGCCAAGUCAGAGGUGAAAGCCCGGAGCUCAACUUCGGAACUGCCUUUGAAACUAGCUGACUAGAAUCUUGGAGAGGCGGGUGGAAUUCCGAGUGUAGAGGUGAAAUUCGUAGAUAUUCGGAAGAACACCAGUGGCGAAGGCGGCCCGCUGGACAAGUAUUGACGCUGAGGUGCGAAAGCGUGGGGAGCAAACAGGAUUAGAUACCCCCGUAGUCC
rnacentral:rRNA from 1 species